GGUGAAUGCAUCAUAUGCAACAACCUUAAGUCUUGGCAAUGUACAUCCAAUGUAUCAUUCCAAGGCUUCGUGCAUCACAUGCACUAGAUUUAUAAUUCUAUAGAAAAUCAGAUCAUAGGAUCUAACCUAAACUUGUCUUACAAGUCUAAAGAUCACAAAAUCUCAUAUCCAAGUAUGAUCAUGGACUAAUAACAUUUAUCCUAAACA
rnacentral:lncRNA from 1 species